AUCCAGAGAUCCAGCCUCCAUCCUUUAUUAACCGGGUGGAUCUGCUGGACGUGAAGAAUAGAGACGUGUCUUUGGUUCUGAAGAACGUGACGACUGAUGAUACAGGAACAUAUGAGUGUCGAGUCGUUCAGAGAGGAAAUAAUCGCAGGAAGAGAUUUCUACUGGGUGGUGACCCCAUCUGCAUCUUUAACCUGAGAGUUGAAGCAGGGAACCAGGAUGGAGGAAACAAGGACGGACAAAAGGAGGAUGGAGGGAGCUGUACUGGCUGGAUAGUUGGUUUUAUAGUUUUAGCCAUUGCCUCCAUUCUUCUUGCUGCUGUUGGAGUCGUCUUACUCCGUCAAAGGCAGAGAUAUUCUUCACCAAGAUCUGACUGACCUCCAGCAUCAGAAGAUGAAGCUCUGCAAGAUAAACCAGGACUUUAAUAGUCUCAUCAUUCCUACCUACCAUAGAGAUGCUGUGGUCUCCUAGUUGGACUUGCUUUGGUUUCAUUUGCAGUAAAUUUUCUGCUCUAUCGACAUCAGGGAUGUUUGCAUCAGGAACAGAAAACUUCUUCUGCAGCUGGAGUAGAACUUGAACCUAUGAAUCCUGAAAACCUGUCCUCCAGCUGAAGAGAGAACAUCAAGGCAUCAUUUCCACCUGAAGAAACCUUCAGCUCUGUGAUACGUAAUCAUCCCUAAAACCUUUCAGACGCUUUCAACAAGCUGACUGGUGGAUAAAUAACAGUGUUUGGUCUGAAUGGAAAAUGUCUGUCAGUUUAUUCAUUUAUUUUAUUUUAUUAGAUUUUGUGUAGUUUGUUCACUAGUUUCCAUCCCCCACUACAAAAACAGGAUCUCUCUACUGACACAAAAAGCAUUAAAACUUUUUGGACAUAUAAAAGAACACUACAGCUUGUGCCUUUGGGUGAUUAAAAUGAAAUGUUAAGACAGCCUCAGCUGUUCUGAUGAACACGGAGUUUGACCAACAUCAGCUGGCGCCUCAGUUCAGACCAGAACCGGACUGAUCUGCAGGAACCAUUAACUUUCUGGACCAACUUUACAUGAAAGUGGAGGACCAGCAGCUUCUGACUGAUGCUCAGCUGCUGCAGGUCUGUCUGGGUGAUAAACAGCAAGGGACGCUCUAACAUGGUCUGUCUCAGAACACUUUUUAAGCUUUGGGCUUCAUCCCGAUGUCCUCAAUUAUGGCUCUUAGCUCCUGUUCCUUGAACUAUGAUGAGGUCAACAGUCAGAACUCUGCUGUGGCGAGGAAACGAGCUUCGGACUGUUGUGGCACACAUGGACGAUUCUAGUCAAAUCCGGACCUAAACUAUAAACCACAAAUUGUGCGUUCUCUUCU